rnacentral:rRNA from 1 species
UACGUAGGGGGCAAGCGUUGUCCGGAUUCAUUGGGCGUAAAGGGUGCGUAGGCGGCGCGGUAAGUCGGGUGUGAAAUUUCGAGGCUUAACUUCGAAACUGCAUUCGAUACUGCCGUGCUAGAGGACUGGAGAGGAGACUGGAAUUUACGGUGUAGCGGUGAAAUGCGUAGAUAUCGUAAGGAAGACCAGUGGCGAAGGCGAAUCUCUGGACAGUUACUGACACUGAGGCACGAAGGCCAGGGGAGCAAACGGG